CCUGCCUCAUACAGGGGGAUAACAGUUAGAAAUGACUGCUAAUACCGCAUAAGACCACAGCACCGCAUGGUGCGGGGGUAAAAACUCCGGUGGUAUGAGAUGGACCCGCGUCUGAUUAGCUAGUUGGUAAGGUAACGGCUUACCAAGGCGACGAUCAGUAGCCGACCUGAGAGGGUGACCGGCCACAUUGGGACUGAGACACGGCCCAAACUCCUACGGGAGGCAGCAGUGGGGAAUAUUGCACAAUGGGGGAAACCCUGAUGCAGCGACGCCGCGUGAGCGAAGAAGUAUUUCGGUAUGUAAAGCUCUAUCAGCAGGGAAGAAAAUGACGGUACCUGACUAAGAAGCACCGGCUAAAUACGUGCCAGCAGCCGCGGUAAUACGUAUGGUGCAAGCGUUAUCCGGAUUUACUGGGUGUAAAGGGAGCGUAGACGGAUGGGCAAGUCUGAUGUGAAAACCCGGGGCUCAACCCCGGGACUGCAUUGGAAACUGUUCAUCUAGAGUGCUGGAGAGGUAAGUGGAAUUCCUAGUGUAGCGGUGAAAUGCGUAGAUAUUAGGAGGAACACCAGUGGCGAAGGCGGCUUACUGGACAGUAACUGACGUUGAGGCUCGAAAGCGUGGGGAGCAAACAGGAUUAGAUACCCUGGUAGUCCACGCCGUAAACGAUGACUACUAGGUGUCGGGUGGCAAAGCCAUUCGGUGCCGCAG
rnacentral:rRNA from 1 species